rnacentral:ncRNA from 10 species
CGACGACUGACACAGGAACAACUGCAGACGGGAAUGUGAGGGAAGUCGGAGGGAGAGCCCCCAGGGAGAAAGCGUUGUAAAGACCCGGUGAAAAAAGAGAGCUUUACGACCCACCAAGGAUGAAGAGAUACCAUCCAAGGAGCUGAAGAAAAUCUCACUUUAGACACCUGGGGAACUCGGAUAAAUUCAA